AGAGUUUGAUCAUGGCUCAGAACGAACGCUGGCGGCGUGCCUAACACAUGCAAGUCGAACGGAAUUUGAGAGCUUGCUCUUAAAUUUAGUGGCGCACGGGUGAGUAACGCGUGGAUAAUCUGCCUGACGAUCUGGGAUAACAUCUCGAAAGGGGUGCUAAUACCGGAUAAGCCCACGGGAACUUCGGUUCUUGCGGGAAAAGGGGGGGACCUUCGGGCCUUCUGUCGUCAGAUGAGU
rnacentral:rRNA from 1 species